GGGAGUGUGGCGCAAUGGUAGCGCAGCGGCCUUUUAAGCCGUGGGUUGUGGGUUCGAGUCCCACCGCUCCUACCA
rnacentral:tRNA from 1 species